GGGUGAGCCGGUGCCGUCGGAAUCCUAAAGGCGGUUCUGGCGUGGAGCUCGAUGAUCCUUCAACAACGCUCGUAAAAUGGUCCCCGUGUGGGGGACAACCCGGGGAAACUCGGGCUAAUACCGCAUACGCCCUACGGGGUAAAGCAGGGGACCUUCGGGCCUUGCGCUGAUGGAUGAGCUCGCGUCGGAUUAGCUUGUUGGUGAGGUAAAGGCUCACCAAGGCGACGAUCCGUAGCUGGUCUGAGAGGAUGAUCAGCCACACCGGGACUGAGACACGGCCCGGACUCCUACGGGAGGCAGCAGUGGGGAAUCUUGGACAAUGGGGGCAACCCUGAUCCAGCCAUGCCGCGUGUGUGAAGAAGGCCUUCGGGUUGUAAAGCACUUUCAGCAGGGAGGAAGGCUUACCCCUAAUACGGGUGAGUACUUGACGUUACCUGCAGAAGAAGCACCGGCUAAUUUCGUGCCAGCAGCCGCGGUAAUACGAAAGGUGCAAGCGUUAAUCGGAAUUACUGGGCGUAAAGCGCGCGUAGGCGGUGUGUUAAGUCGGAUGUGAAAGCCCAGGGCUCAACCUUGGAAUUGCAUCCGAUACUGGCACGCUAGAGUGCAGUAGAGGGAGGUGGAAUUUCCGGUGUAGCGGUGAAAUGCGUAGAGAUCGGAAGGAACACCAGUGGCGAAGGCGGCCUCCUGGACUGACACUGACGCUGAGGUGCGAAAGCGUGGGGAGCAAACAGGAUUAGAUACCCUGGUAGUCCACGCUGUAAACGAUGUCUACUAGCCGUCGGGGUCCUUAGUGACUUUGGUGGCGCAGCUAACGCGAUAAGUAGACCGCCUGGGGAGUACGGCCGCAAGGUUAAAACUCAAAUGAAUUGACGGGGGCCCGCACAAGCGGUGGAGCAUGUGGUUUAAUUCGAUGCAACGCGAAGAACCUUACCAGGUCUUGACAUCCUCGGAAUUUGGCAGAGAUGCCUUAGUGCCUUCGGGAGCCGAGUGACAGGUGCUGCAUGGCCGUCGUCAGCUCGUGUCGUGAGAUGUUGGGUUAAGUCCCGUAACGAGCGCAACCCUUGUCCUUAGUUGCCAGCACGUCAUGGUGGGAACUCUAGGGAGACUGCCGGUGACAAACCGGAGGAAGGUGGGGACGACGUCAGGUCAUCAUGGCCCUUACGACCUGGGCUACACACGUGCUACAAUGGCUGGUACAGAGGGUUGCGAAGUCGCGAGGCGAAGCUAAUCCCUUAAAGCCAGUCGUAGUCCGGAUCGGAGUCUGCAACUCGACUCCGUGAAGUCGGAAUCGCUAGUAAUCGCGGAUCAGAAUGCCGCGGUGAAUACAGAGCCGGGCCCUGGACCCGCCGCCCGUGACCGAGGGUCUCGGCGGUGAACCCGGACCGUCGGAGAAAAAAAGGCGU
rnacentral:rRNA from 2 species